UACGGAGGAUGCAAGCGUUAUCCGGAAUGAUUGGGCGUAAAGCGUCCGCAGGUGGCAAUGUAAGUCUGCUGUCAAAGCGUCUGGCUCAACCAGAUAAAGGCAGUGGAAACUACAUAGCUAGAGUGAGGUAGGGGUAGAGGGAAUUCCUGGUGUAGCGGUGAAAUGCGUAGAGAUCAGGAAGAACACCGGUGGCGAAAGCGCUCUGCUGGACCUUAACUGACACUGAGGGACGAAAGCUAGGGGAGCGAAUGGG
rnacentral:rRNA from 1 species